rnacentral:rRNA from 1 species
UACGUAGGGGGCUAGCGUUGUCCGGAUUUAUUGGGCGUAAAGAGCGUGUAGGCGGCCAGGUAGGUCUGCUGUGAAAACUCGAGGCUCAACCUCGAGACGUCGGCGGAAACCAUCUGGCUAGAGUCCGGAAGAGGAGAGUGGAAUUCCUGGUGUAGCGGUGAAAUGCGCAGAUAUCAGGAAGAACACCCGUGGCGAAGGCGGCUCUCUGGGACGGUACUGACGCUGAGACGCGAAAGCGUUGGGAGCGAACAGG